UAAAGGCAGGGCAAAUAUCUCUUGGAUGAAUUGCCAGGUGUAUGCAUGUGUACAUAUAUACUAAUAUUAAUGGAUAUAGAGUUAAGUAACUUGUAUUAGAUGUUUUAAGACUUCCAUGAUAUCAUCUUUGAAAAUGAAUAGCUUUUCCCUCAGCCCAGGAAGAUUUACAUACUGUACCAUAAGAACCUUGAAGAGGCACUCUGAAACCCACAACAGUCUUUGCUCAUGAGGUGAGUUGGCCAUCCUUGAUGCAUGAAGGAAUCAUCCAAGUCCACACAGGCAGCACCUCCAUCCUGCUCUCUGGAGACCCCGCACUGGCUCCACUCCAUCCAUUUGCCUUAUUUUCAGACUCCGGAUGCUUCUCUCUUCUUGACCUGAUUUCUCUUUGCCAACAUGAAUUACCUCCUGGUUUCACA